ensembl:lncRNA
UUUAUUCUCAAACUGAAUUUUUUUCUUUUAACUGAAGUAUAGUUGAUUUACAAUGUUGUGUUAGUUUCUGGUAUAUAGCAAAGUGAUUCAGUUAUACAUAUAUAUGUAUACAUAUACAUAUUCUUUUUCAUUAUGGUUUAUUGCGGGAUAUUGAAUAUAGUUUCCUGUGCUAUACAGUAAGACCUUGUUGUUUAUCUAUUUUAUAUAUAGUAGUUUGUAUCUGCUAAUCCCAAACUCCUAAUUUAUCCCUCCCCCACCCCCUCUCCCCUUUGGUAACCGUAAGUUUGUUUUCUAUGUCUGUGAGUCUAUUUCUGUUUCGAAAAUAAGUUCAUUUGCAUCAUAUUCAAACUGAAUAUUUGAAUCUCAAGGAUGAAGAAGAUGAUGAUGACUAUGUUGAAGAAGGGGAAGAAGAAGAAGAGGAAGAAGAAGGUCUUCGAGGGGAAAAGAGGAAACGAGAUGCUGAAGAUGAUGGAGAGGAAGAGGAUGACUAGAUCAUUCUAAGACCAGAUUCCCUAAUGUUCCUGGGUGUGCAAUAGAGUGAUCACAUCUUCUUUGUUUCUUCAUGUACGAUAGCUAUCCCUACAGAAGAUAAUGUGUAACUUUUUAUAGGAAAAGUGUGGUUUUACUAUUUUUGCCUUACCAUUCCAAAUAAGAUUAACUAGUCUGUUAAUGAUCAUAUUGUAUGUAGAGACAAAUUUUCAUUGACCCCAUUGUGAAAUUCCCUAGCAAUUUAUUUAGAAUCUUAAUUUUUCUAAUUAAAGUUCACUGUGUUAGUCAUUUUUAGUAUAAUUAAAACAUGAUUGCUUUUACACAGGCGUAAUAUGGUGCAUUUCAUUCAUAGGAUUUUAAAGUUAUUUAUAAAUUAACUGAAAUCACAGUUGGCUGGAAUCUGGAAUGAAAAUAGUCUCUUGAAUUAUAAGUUGGUUAUUUUUUUAGAGGCAACCCAGAGAUCUUUAGUUUGAAGGCAGUGACUUUUUUUUUUGGUUGAGGGUAUUUGGGUGCUUUUUUGUCACAUGAGUAGCUUGGAAAGUAGGAGCAGAAUAGUAAAGGUUCUAUUCAACAAUAUAGUUCAUGGCUUUUGUGAAGGCUUCUAAAACCUUUUAAGCCAGGUGACUAAGAAGAUUUUAGUUUCCAAGGAAAAAUUGCUUAUACUGAUUUCAGAGACAUGUAGGAGAGCCCUUUCUUCAAGUCGAAGAUCAUGACCUGCCAACGGUUGUUAUUUUGUUUUAAGUGUGCAUUCUUUGUUUUCCUCUCAGUGAUUCUUUUAUGAUCACCUUCCUUUCUUGUUUCACUCCCCUCUUCUCAAAAAAGAGUUGGGAAACUUAUGGAUACCCAAGAUGACUUUGUCUUAUACCUCAACCACCUUUUCAGACCUGUCUUAGCUUUAAACAAGCUAAGUGAAAGAAAUUGAGUAUUUUCUGAAAUAGGAAUAUUAUUAUCAAUACAGUUUUAUGCAACAGACUCUGCUUACUGUAAAUCUCUUUCUUGACAAGAUGUACAGACUGUAUUAGGAGGAUGAAGAAAGAAAAGAAGCAGAGGAGGCUCUUGGAAGCAGCAUGUGUGUUCCUCAAAAGUCAGAACAAUUGCCUGUUGAUAAUUAAUGAGACAUUCAAAUCAGAUUAGCUUCCCAAGUGAUUUAGAUACCACUCUGCAAAGUAUUUCUAAUUUUCCUGAGUAGAACCUUUAAUUAUUCUUUCUAUAGUUUUAAAGCAUUACCAGAUAUAGCAUUUAAUUGAAAUACACUGGACAGCUGGAAAAAUAUUUGAAACUAAAUCAAUAUUAAAAUUAAGAUUUGGUUUCAGGUGGAUGUCCAUUAAAAAUAGAAAAAUAUUUGGGAUAACUGUGAGUGUGUGUUUCCUUAUACAGCUACUAAAUAUAAUAUUAUGAGUAGGCAAGUACAUCUCCUUUUUUUGUUGUGGAGGCUCCAUGUUCAAGGCAAUUGCUUUCUUAAUCUUGGCUAUCUAAAAAUUUUUUCCCCUUUGUUUUGAAUAUUUGUAAGUUUUUAAAAAGUUAGUAUCAGCAAAUUAAUUGAAGUUACACUUUCGUACUGGGACACAUUUAAAUUACUGAAUAUAGUAUUGCUUCUUUUUUGGUUUAAAAUGUAUGACUUGGGGAUUUAAAGUAAAAAAUGAUGAAGUUAUUUGUGGAUAAACUAAAAAAUUUGCAUAACUGACUGAAAUAAAACUGUUGGGAUAAGUUUAGUGGGGGGAUUGGAAUCUCCAAAAGGCUAACAUUUUACUCCUUUUUAACAAUUAUAAUGCCCUGUUUUAGUCCGUUAAGGGUUCUCAUUGCAUAGUAUGCCAGAUUAUAAAAUACUUAUUUUAAAAGUUAAAUCUAUAUAUUGACUUUCUUAUCAAUCAUCUUAUUGUGCAAUCAACAUGAGAGUUCUUUGGUUUGAAAACAACACUUAGAGCCUCCAAAAACCUUUUUAAGACUUACUUAGCUUUGUGGGUGGUAUUUUCAUGCAAAUAAGUAAGGGUGGGUUUUAUAUUUUGUAG